rnacentral:rRNA from 1 species
AUGACGAUGCCACUGGAAAUUAUGAUUACUAUAUCCGCACAGCCUCAUACCUGGACUACUUGGGUAAUUCUCAUCAACAUUUCGUAUGAAAGGCGCAUCAAGCCCUACCUGAUUCCCCUUGUGUGCCUAAAGAUGCAUUUUAUUGCCACUAACAAAAUGGUGAGCUAUUAUAAAAAAAAGGCACACCAUGAUAAUUAA